AUCUUAUCAAUCAAUCAAUCAAUCAAUCAAUCAAUUGUAUUUAUUGAGCGCUUCCUGACUGGGCCUGUUGUCUUUCCCUCCUCCGGCCCGGUGAUUUUCUCUGCCGCAGCCCGAGAGACCAGCCCGAGAGACCAGCCUGGUGAUUUUCUCUGCCGCAGCCCGAGAGACCAGG